rnacentral:rRNA from 1 species
UACAGAGGUCCCAAGCGUUGUUCGGAUUCAUUGGGCGUAAAGGGUGCGUAGGCGGCGCGGUAAGUCGGGUGUGAAAUCUCGGGGCUUAACUCCGAAACUGCAUUCGAUACUGCCGUGCUUGAGGACUGGAGAGGAGACUGGAAUUCUCGGUGUAGCGGUGAAAUGCGUAGAUAUCGGGAGGAACACCUAUGGCGAAGGCAGCUCGCUGGGACGUUACUGACGCUGAGACGCGAAAGCGUGGGGAGCAAACAGG